GCUUGCCGGUCUCAGUUUUCCUCUUCGCUUCAUUCCCUGCUUUUGCGAGGAAUUCCUGAUGUUUCAGUUACCCGAGAGACGCGGGCUGCCAGGACCCUUUCUUGAAACCCAGAUUUGCGCGUUUUGGAAGCAAGAGGGGUGACCCCGCUGGAAAAGUUGGACAUGCAAAUUAGGGGGCUACCCUUUACAGUUCAACAGUCGAUGAUGCAACUCUGAGACGAAAAGCAAAAAUGGUGAUUCGAUAUUAGUUCUACAUAUCCUCAUGGAAUCUGAAGACACCAUUGAGAUCAUCUCCAGUCAGGAACAACUGAAGCCCAGAGAAGCGAAGUGCCCUGCCGACGUCACACAGCAGGAACCUUCUCCCAGGAAUUCCUCUUACUCCCAGCCACGCCUGAGGACUGAAUUACACAACGCAUGGAGCUGCUGGCUUUGGGUCAGCUAAGCAUGACACGCACAGCCUGGAAGAUGUCACUGCUCUACACCAUUCUGGGGCAAGGCAGGAGC